GCCGCACGGUCUCCGGCGCGGUCCGCCCCAACUGCUUUAUAAGGCGCGGGCAGUAGCUUUGAUCCGCCCACGUCAGCGCGCCGAAACCCCACAGGGUGGCUCCUGCCGCGCGCGGGGGGCGGGGGCGGGGUCCCCGCGGACGCCACGGACCCGCGGCGCCAGCGGCGCAGAGGACUUCGCACCCUGUCGAGUUACAAAGGGGGGGCACUUACUAACUGUAGCCGGUGUUUAAUAAGCGUGCCUGCUGCGAGCCUACGGCGGACCUGCGGCACGUGGGGCCCGGGUAGGACAGGUUUCUAACCCUCGCAGCCAGCCGAGCGAGGCACCUCAACCAGUCUGGUUUGACAGAGGAGGAAGCCACCGCUCAAGGAGAAGUCCCACUUAAGUCUCGGCCGGGAGCCUGGCGGACAUCCCUGGGGGGGGGGGGGGGGGCGUUGCAGCUCGGGUGCUUUAGGCGACCCAGUACGUCCCAGCUCCAGCUCCGGAGAGCUGCGUUGGCGUCCCAGUAAGUCCUUUGAGGGGGUUAUUUCUCGAGUCCUCUGAUUCCACUUCUGGAAAAGGGAUCAGCCAUUCUGAGCUCUCCGCGGAGAAAGGAAGAGAGGGCGCCCUGCUCUGUGAAGCGCGCUGUAAACGUUAGGCACCAGAAAGCAGGCGUUCCAGCCUCUGGGAUGACCGUUGGGGAGUUUUCUGGACACCUUGCCUCCUGUCCCCACGGAGCUACCGGCUGAGAACUGGGUUUUAGAAACUAGAAAGAACUACAGAGUUUGCUCCCUGCCCAGCAUAGACCUGGGCUGCGGCUCCGGUUGUGUUUCUGAGGCAACUGCCCCAAGACUGGUAAGUGUCCAUCCCUCUCCCCACACACACCUUGGCCUUUCUGGCUGAUGGUACACCCCCCCCCCCCCAUUUCUAACUUGCUGGGCAACUUCAGGUUGCCAUGGCUUCUGUCUGCCCCACCCCGGGGGCUCGGUCCCAAGCAUAAUCUCAAGGAUAAUCAAGUUCAUUAGCAGAAGGGAAGCAUAGACUUAGUGAAGAGGGGUUUGCCUCAGGUCCCUAAAACACCAUUCCCCCCGUUCUUUGCAGCUACCCAUGAAGUGGCACCCAUAAGCUGCCCUAGCCUGCCUGCAGGUACCUCCAUAUACAUACACACCUCUGGGCCCACGAAGCCCACUGCAGGUUCUCGGCCAUACAGAAUACUCCCUGCACGUGGACAGCCAGUCCCCCUUGCACACAGGGCUGGGACACAGCACCCCACAAAUGGUCAGAACACACUCAGGAGAUACUUGCACACACCAUAGGCCCACACACAUUCAGGAGCACACACAAGUGACAUGGCCAUAUCCAUCUGCAAGAUGAGGCCAAACCCUGUGCCCCCACCAAGUUCAUGCACAGAGACGUGCUUCCAUGCACUCCUGCAUAGAGUCAUAGGUGUGUCCUUGUGAACACGUGCUGGGACACCCAGUCUCCUCUCCUAGAGCAUCAGGGUCAGUAAAAACUGUGGGAGACUAGGGGUUAUAAAAGCUGCAGGAAGGUGGUGGGGCUUUGGGUGGGGUGUCUAGAAAGGGCAGGGGAGGGUCAAGGCUGCUCCACCUAAGAGGCUGGAGACAGAGGCAUCCAGGGGUCAAGAGUGUCCUUAGCUCUUCCACGGCAAGGCACCCUGGCCACCACAGUGGGAGCCAUUCCAGGUGGCCUGGGUCCAAUUGGAUGCACCCACCUCUGGGUCUAACUUUCUGCUUCGAGAGAGGCUGAAUGAGUUGCCUGCCAACAUUUGCAUAAGCAGCACUUCAUCCAGAAAUCUCCUUCUGGCUCCCGGCUAGAGUAGAAACAGAAAACCCUUUGGAGUCAUACCGACUUAGGCUCCAAUAUUGAUUUUGCUCAAUUUCACUUUUAGCAGUAUCACACUGCUUGAGCGAAUUGCUUAAACUCUCGUGUGUUAGUUUCCUCAUCCAUAAACGGGUAUAAUGCAAUCCCAUCAAAUCUUCUAUAUUCUCCAAGAUGGGAUUAGUAUCCCCCUUUCAUAGAUAUGGAAGCUGAGGCUCAAAAGUGUGGGGCUGGCAAGUGUCAGGGCUGCUCUCUGAACCCAGAUCUUUCUGGCUCUGUGUGCACUCUAGCUUAUGGCCCCCAUUAAAUCAGAUGGGAGGAUAGUGACUUUCCACUGUGAGAGGAGUUGAGGGAAGCCAGGAGAAGAUCCCAGAAUUCCUGAAGCCCAGCCCUGAGCCCUCCUGUCUCCUCCCUGAUACUCAGCUCUGUCUUUGUGAAUUAAGACCCAGGCAUUAGCUAAGGGCUCAAAACCCUGCCCUGGGAGGUGAGGGAAAGCAUGAAGUGGUGACAAAACCCUGGAUUCUGAGUCAAGCGAGGCCUGGGGCAGGGGUCAGCCCCUCCCUGGACACCAGGCUCCCCAUUUGUGUAAGCUGAAUAGUUGAUCACCUCAGACAUUUUGGGAUUCUCAGAGACACUUGUGAGAAAAAAACAUUUUUCGUUUUUAGGACAAAACGACCUCCCCCCUUCCCUUUUUCUCCUCCUUCCUUCUGUCCAGGGGCUCCUCAAGGGCUGCUGUGUGUCAAGGCUGUGCUGGCCGGCUGGGCUGCAAGCUCCUCUUCAGGGGGACAGGGGGGAGGCUCUAAUCUAGGCUGGGCGGGCAUGCUCUUGGCUGCUGCCGCUGUAGAUGUUAAUAUAUUUUCCUUCUCCUCAAUUACCCCCGGUGAUUCUGGUUAUCUGAUCGCCCAGACGUGCUGGGGGCUUCCUGUCCGCCGGCUUCUCAGCCCCUGCCUGACUGCCAUUGGUUAGGGGCACACACCUUUCCAUCCCCCACCCCUGCACACAGCCUAGUCAGGGGGGCACCCAGACUGAAAGGACGUGGAGGUAGGAGAGUUCCAGUUCAUUGUGCUGGCCUCUAUGGAUCCCUCCACCCAUCUCAGCUUCCCUCCCUUAGGGCCAAGGCCUUGGGGUGAAUCAGCUAUCUCCGGGAACCCUGGAUGGGGAGACAGGUGACCUGGGUGUAGGUCUUAGCCCUGUCAGUAGUUUGCUAUGUGAUAGCAGAUAAUCGUUCUGCCCUUUCUGAGCCCUAGUCACCCCAUCUGCGAGGGGUGGGUUGAACUAGGUAACCCCCCAAACACAUUUGCAGCUCCAGAAACCAAGUCUAGGGUUCUUUUCACUCUUACUUGCAGCACAGGAUAAACCACGAGCACAGUGGACACCAUGAGACCAAAGGGUCAUGUUUCCAGCAUUAGGGCGAAUUUUAUUUAUUUUUUUAAGUUUAUUUAUUUUGAGAGAGAGAGAGAGAGAGAGCACAUGCAAGUUGGGGAGGGGCAUAGAGAGAGGAAGAGAGAGAGAGAAUCCCAAUCAGGUUCUUCGUACUGUCAGGGUGGAGCCAGAUACGGGGCUCAAACUCACCAAUGGAGAGAUCAUGACCUGAGCCAAAGUUGGACGCUUAACCGACUGAGCCACCCAGAUGCCCCAAUACUAGAGUGCAUUUUAGAAAGGCCUUCCCAGGAAGGCAGGUGAACAAGGGUCUGUGCAGAGUAACCCAGCCCAGCUGGCCUCUGACCCAGGGGCUGGGAUGCCCCCUGAGGCUACAUCUUCCAGACAAACAGGGAGGGUGAUCAAACAGCAGCAGGCAUAUCAUCAGAAUACCUGGGCCUGGCUCUCAGGUUCCCCCUCCCUUCACUUACCCGCUGCGUGACCCUGGUCAAGUCUCUCAGCCUCUGUGAUCCUUGGUUUCAUCAUCUGCAAAAUGGGAGCACCUUUAAACCCCUCUCUUCGAAUUUACUGGCAGGUAACGUUGCAGGAAAGAAGUACUAUCAGUUGACCAGGAACCCGCUGUAUGCUAAGCAGUUUCGGUGCCUGUGGGUGAGGCCAGCAUUGCUCUGCUCUUACACUGACCCCAGCCCUGUCUGGUCAUUUCAGAACCGCGGAGUCGGGCCAUCCACCCUGUCAUAUCUCUGAAGUUCUGGCUGCUGGAGCAGAAAUGUCUCCACGGCGCGGGGAGCAUCAUGUGGUUAGCCACUGGCUCUAUCUCGCCCACGCUGCCUCCCCGGGGGCUCCGUCAAGGCCCCGAACAGUGGGUGCUCCAAAGUUGCCAGGUUGGUGAAAAACCAAAAGACUCUGGUGCCUGCGUCAUAGCAUAGCUCAGAAGACACCUCCCAUGUCCCUGUCGGGAAUCCCAUGGCAGAGAGUCCCAGCCAGGACAUCCAGCAAGGCCUCUCGGCCACGGGGCUAGCAGCGAGCAGGCCACACGUGUCCUGACGCUGUUGGCUGCACUCAGUCUGGGUGUGGUGGGGCUGUGUGAGAGAGAGCAAGGUGGUUGGGGUCUAGCGAUGGGUGGGGGGGGUGAGGCUUUGUUUCUCACUUUGUGCUUAAGUGAGCAAAACCCGCAGAAGCUCAGGGAGAAGAAUGUGCAAAAGGAAGGGAAAAGGAAACUACCAUUUGUCAACUACCUCCUAUUCCCCCGGAGGCAUUCUGUGAACUUCCUCUCCGCUCACAACCACCCAGAGAAACAGGAGGAUCGUCCCCAUUCAUAGAACCCACAGCUGACUCAGAGAGAAGGAUACAUCUGCCCAAGAUCACACAGCCAGCAGGUGACAGAGCUAGGAUUUGAACCCUGUUCCAUCUCUCCUAAAGCACAUGCUUUUCCCUUAAUGCCCUCGCUACCCUAGAGAAAAGGGAGGAAAAAAAAAGGCAAGAUAGAAAGAGGCCCGGCUCGGGGAAAGUCACACAGAGAGAAAAAGAAAAAACGAGAGUGGAAAGAGCAUGAGGCCGCAGCCGAGGCCUGGAGCGGGUCCUCGGGGAGCAGCAGAGGGCGGGGAUGGCCGGAAACCGGCUCACCGAACCUGGAGCCAAGAACCAUGCUUGGCCUGAGACCUGGUGGAAAAGCUCUCACCUCAAGAUAGUGAAGUGGGGGAAACUGGC